rnacentral:lncRNA from 10 species
UGGCAGUGUGUACCAGUAUUGGGUCAUAACUAUUUCAGGAACUGAAGAGAGUGAGCCAUCACCUGCUGUCACAUACAUCCAUGGAAGUGGGUACUGUGGCGAUGGCAUUAUACAAAAAGACCAAGGUGAACAAUGCGACGACAUGAAUAAGAUCAAUGGUGAUGGCUGCUCCCUUUUCUGCCGACAAGAAGUCUCCUUCAAUUGUAUUGGUACGUCUUUUUCAUUUCUUGUGGCCUUCAUGAAGAAAUGAACGGUGCAGAAUGGUUGGUCAAUGAUAAUGCCAACAAUAGUUAUGACUAAAUGAUGAUUCACUCCUUUGUAUUACACCUGUUUAUUGAGUGCCUCCUACAUGCCAGGCACUGUUUUCAAUAUCGGGAAAUACAGCAGUGAAAAAACAAACAAACAAAGCAAUCCCUCAAGAGCUUAAGCUCUCAUAGAUGAUGCCAAUGACGGGUAACUUCUUUUGAUCAAGCUUUACCUUACAAACAUCCCUGCUUUUCUUCACACUAACUGUCCAGGAUGGGUAUUACUGGAGAUGUUUUAAGGCUUUUAUUCCUACUUCAGAGAUAAG